rnacentral:rRNA from 1 species
AGUGAACGCUGGCGGUAGGCCUAACACAUGCAAGUCGAACGGCAGCACAGUAAGAGCUUGCUCUUACGGGUGGCGAGUGGCGGACGGGUGAGGAAUACAUCGGAAUCUACUUUUUCGUGGGGGAUAACGUAGGGAAACUUACGCUAAUACCGCAUACGACCUACGGGUGAAAGCAGGGGAUCUUCGGACCUUGCGCGAUUGAAUGAGCCGAUGUCGGAUUAGCUAGUUGGCGGGGUAAAGGCCCACCAAGGCGACGAUCCGCAGCUGGUCUGAGAGGAUGAUCAGCCACACUGGAACUGAGACACGGUCCAGACUCCUACGGGAGGCAGCAGUGGGGAAUAUUGGACAAUGGGCGCAAGCCUGAUCCAGCCAUACCGCGUGGGUGAAGAAGGCCUUCGGGUUGUAAAGCCCUUUUGUUGGGAAAGAAAAGCAGCAGGUUAAUACCCCGCUGUUCUGACGGUACCCAAAGAAUAAGCACCGACUAACUUCGUG